rnacentral:rRNA from 1 species
UACGUAGGUGGCGAGCGUUGUCCGGAUUUACCGGGCGUAAAGAGCGCGCAGGCGGUCGUACAAGUCGCGUGUGAAAGCCCCUGGCUCAACUGGGGAGGGUCACGCGAUACUGUUCGACUCGAAGGCAGGAGAGGGAAGUGGAAUUCCCGGUGUAGUGGUGAAAUGCGUAGAUAUCGGGAGGAACACCAGUGGCGAAGGCGACUUCCUGGCCUGUUCUUGACGCUGAGGCGCGAAAGCUAGGGUAGCAAACAGG